CUACGGGUUGCUCCAGUCGAGAAUAGUCUACAAUGGGGGAAACCCUGAUAGUGCGACGCCGCGUGAACGAUGAAUCCUUUCGGGGUGUAAAGUUCUUUUCUGCGUGAGCAAGACUGAUAAGAUUAAUAGUUUUAUGAGUAAGAUAUUAGCGCAGGAAUAAGCUCCGGCUAACUCCGUGCCAGCAGCCGCGGUAACACGGGGGGAGCAAGCGUUGUCCGGAAUCACUAGGCGUAAAGGGCAAGUAGGCGGAUAGAUCAGUCAGGUGUUAAAGGCGUCGGCUCAACCGGCGUAUAGCAUUUGAUACUGUUUAUCUAGAGUGAAGUAGAGGAAGACGGAAUUCCUGGUGUAGCGGUGGAAUGCGCAGAUAUCAGGAAGAACACCGAUGGCGAAGGCAGUCUUCUGGGCUUCAACUGACGCUAAAUUGCGAAGGUGUGGGUAUCGAACAGGAUUAGAUACCCUGGUAGUC
rnacentral:rRNA from 1 species